CGGCAGCCAAUUAAGCGGAAUGUUUUCAUUUACUCGUGGGUGUGCAAUGUGCAGUGGCUGCAAACAGCAACCUCCUGAGUAGUGUACUCAGCCUAUCGCUUGCACGGAUUUCCCCGAGGGACCUUGGAGACAGUG
ensembl:snoRNA SNORA70 Small nucleolar RNA SNORA70